UCAUAAAAUAAAGCAAAUAAUUGUAAUACUUUAGGUAAAAGCAACACUGCAUUUGAAUGUACACUUGUAAUAAUAAUAAUAAUAAUUUUCUCUUAUAAUUAUUUAUGGCACUGCAUUUCCUGUGCAACUGUAACUGUCACAUAGUUUCAGUUUUAAAAAUAAUAUAAUAUCAAUAAAAUUAAAUGUGUGUGUGUGUGUGUGUG